rnacentral:lncRNA from 1 species
GGUGAGUUCUUCCUUGAACUCGUCAAGUUCAUCUUCAGCAUAUGACUACGACCAGUCUAUGACUCAUCGAGUUGCAUGAACCACUCGUCGAGUUCAUAUUUAAAGAUUGGGAAAUUGCCUUGGACUCGCUGAGUUUGCUCAAACACUCGUUGAGUCCCAUGAUUCCCAGGUCCCUUAUGAGCCUAAACAACUGAGGAACUGUAACACCCAUAAAAUUUGUAACACCGUGAAUUUCAAAAUAAUUUUUCGCAUAAUAUAGAAACAUUUUUCAUUUAAUUUUCAUAAAACAUCAAGUUUAAAACUCCAAUUCACAUCAUACAAAAUCCCAAGAUCACAUAUCAUAAAAAUCCCAUGCGUCUGUACAGAUCAAGCCGGCGCCUUCCCACGGUCAUCACUAGUACCUGAAACAAACAACACUAACACUGUAAGCACAAAGCUUAGUGAGUUCCCCAAAAUACCACGCAUAACACAUAUUAGCCACUCGAGGCUAUAACUCUGUGGGUCCGUGGACCCUACUCUGUGAACCCUCUGGUUCUAACUCUGUGAACCUUCCGGUCCAACUCUAUAAACAUGCACAGCAUAAAUCACGUAGAAAUAAUCCAGUACAACACAUAACAUACAUAAAGCAUACAAAUACUCUGUCACAUAACUCUGAUUACCUAAUCAAGGUAAAGUAUAGUGAGAAGACUCACCUCGCGUAUAUCGAUAGCUCGCAAAUCCCUGAAAUCACUAGUGCUCGAUCUCCCGAGCUAAAGUCCUCGUAUAACACAAUACAUCUCUAAUUAACACUUUCCCAACUAAGGUUGACUAACCCUAUCAAGUCAAUGCUGGUCAACUCCGGUCAACGGUCAAUGGUCAACGGACUCGGCGAGUGCACUAAAGCAACUCUGCGAGUCUACACGUUUUCACCAACUCUCUAGGAUUCUCUUUCGACACGUCGAGUACGCCCCUGACUCGACGAGUUCCACCUGACAUGAAUCGCGGGGCCACCACGACUCAACUCGCCGAGUCUCAAGAACAACUCGGCGAGUUCCAGCUCGACUCAGUCCACCUGUCAACCCUCUCCAACUCUCCCUGACUCACUGAGUCAACCCAUAACUCGGCAGGACCACUCACUGAGUGGUUAAGGACAAUCUUCAUGCUACUCGCCGAGUCUGUUCUUCAGACUCGGCGAGUCCAUGCCAUGCAUCAACUCAAACUCGCUUCUGAGGUCAGAUCCGUUUCAUCCACUCAUAGAUCUGGCCCUCCUAAUCUCAUUCAUCACGUAAAGUCACAGUCUUGGCUACCAUGCAACACCAACAAGGCUCUUUUUGAAGAAAUGGCCUCUAAGAUGGCAACCCUAGUCUCCAACCCAAAAGGAAGGACAUAAAGCAUGGCAUUAGGGACUCUGUGGACCUGCUAAGGUCCAGAUCUAGGUACCAUAUCCCCAUGGGACCUCUCACACUUCAAUUACAAAGCAAACAAGGCAUGAAGAAACCCUAGAUCUAACCAUAUCAACAAAAUACGGUAAUAAGCUCUGAAUGAUACCUCAAGAAGCUUCCCCUGACGAAAUGGAAGUAGAUCCCAACUCACCAACUCUUCUAGCUUGACUUUCCCCUUUCUUUCUUGCAAUUACACACAAAUUUGGUGAAUAAUGGCCUCUUAUCUCACUCACAAGAACUUUCAACUGCUUUGGUGCUCUCAAGAUCAAGGUAGCCGCAAUGAAGGGCCAUAAGGUCCUUUAAAUAGGGCUUAGGACCGGGAAAUUAGGGUUUCAUUAAACAGCGCGGACUCGCCGAGUCCAUUCCUUGGACUCGCCGAGUCCAGGCGCGAACCCGCGUCCAAAUCCGCGAUCAUACUCGGCGAGUCUAGGCUCCAACUCGCCGAGUCUCUUCACAAUUAACAAAAAUAAAUAAAUGAAUAAUACCUGAGAAAUCCGGGCUGUUACAAUUCUCCCCCAUUAGAACUAGACUUCGCCCUCGAAGUCUCGGUCGACAAAUAACUCUGGAUGCUGCUCACACAUCUCACGCUCCGAUUCCCAAGUCAUCUCGGACCCCUUCCGAUGCUGCCACUGAACCAAAACCAGGGGUACCUCCUUGUUCCUCAGAACCUUGAUUUUCUGAUCUCUGAUGGCCACGGGUCUCUCAGCAUAAUUCAGGCUCGCAUCCACCUGAAUAUCUUCCAAUGGAACCACUGCCGACUCAUCGGCUAUACACUUCCUCAGCUGCGACACAUGGAAAGUGUCGUGAAUCUGCCCCAACUCUGCUGGCAAAUCCAAACGAUAGGCUACCCGGCCUACCCUCGCGAUCACUCGGAAAGGACCAAUAUAUCGGGGCCCCAACUUGCCCCUCUUCCUGAAUCGAAUCACUCCUUUCCAAGGAGAGACCUUCAGGAGCACGAGGUCGCCGACCUGAAACUCAAGCUCGGACCGGCGUCUGUCUGCAUAACUCUUCUGUCGGCUCUGAGCGGUCAACAACCUCUGUCUGACCUGCUGGAUCUGCUCUGACGUCUGAAGCACGAUCUCUGUACUGCCCAUCACCCGCUGUCCAACCUCUCCCCAACAAAUGGGGGUCCGACACCUCCUCCCAUACAACAGCUCAAAGGGUGGCAUACCAAUGCUCGAAUGAUGGCUGUUGUUGUAGGAAAACUCUGCCAAGGGCAAAUAUGCAUCCCAGCUACCCCCGAAAUCCAACACACAUGCCCGGAGCAUGUCCUCGAGCGUCUGAAUCGUCCGCUCACUCUGACCGUCUGUCUGGGGAUGAUAUGCGGUACUAAAAUGCAGUCUAGUACCCAACUCCUCAUGAAACUUCUUCCAGAAUCUGGAAGUGAAGCGCACAUCACGGUCUGAAACAAUCGAGAUCGGCACCCCAUGCCGAGAUACCACUUCCCUCACAUACACCUCCGCCAAUUUCUCUGCUGAAGAACUCUCGCUGAUAGCAAGGAAGUGAGCGCUCUUCGUCAAUCUGUCCACAAUCACCCAAAUUGCAUCAACUCCUCUGGCAGUCCUUGGCAAUUUGGUGAUGAAAUCCAUAGUGAUCUGUUCCCACUUCCAUUCGGGAACCUCCAAUGGCUGCAACUUACCAUGCGGCCUCUGGUGCUCGGCCUUAACCCUACGGCAGGUCAAGCACCUCUCAACAAACCACGCGACAUCCCUCUUCAUACAGGGCCACCAAUACUCCUUUCUCAGAUCCAAAUACAUCUUAGUGGCCCCCGGAUGGAUCGAAAAUUUCGACCGAUGAGCCUCCUCCAUCAAAAUGGUACGCGUUCCUCCCACAAACGGUACCCAGAUACGCCCCUGAAAUGUCAUAAGCCCCCGACCAUCGGUAACGAACUCUGAAACCAAACCAACAACCCGUUCCCUCUUCUGCAUCUCAGGUUGCACAGCCUCGGCCUGUGCCCCACGAAUGGCGUCCAACACUGGAGCUAUCACGGUCAAUCUCAAACAUACAUCCCGCAGCGGGGUGCUCUCCGCCCUGCGGCUCAAUGCAUCGGCUACCACAUUAGCCUUGCCUGGGUGGUACAGGAUCUCACAAUCAUAAUCCUUGACCACAUCCAACCACCUUCUCUGACGCAUAUUUAGGUUGGGCUGAUCCAUCAAAUACUUCAAACUCUUAUGGUCCGUGUAUAUCGUACACCGAACCCCAUACAAGUAGUGACGCCAAAUCUUGAGGGCGAACACCACUGCCCCCAACUCUAGAUCAUGGGUGGGAUAUCUCGUCUCAUGAGGCUUCAGCUGCCUCGAUGCAUAUGCUAUCACAUGCCCUCUCUGCAUCAGCACCGCUCCCAACCCCAAAAUCGAUGCAUCACAGUAUACCACAAAGUCCUCCAUCCCUUCCGGGAGGGCUAACACCGGGGCUUCGCACAACCUUUGGCGAAGUGUCUCAAAGGAGGCCUGCUGCUCGGGGCCCCAUGAAAAAGCAACACCCUUCCGGGUCAAUCUGGUGAGUGGCACUGCGAUCUUAGAGAAAUCCUUGAUAAACCUCCGAUAAUACCCUGCCAAUCCUAGGAAACUUCUGAUCUCGGAGGGUGACUUCGGCACCUCCCAACUCAUCACCGCCUCAACUUCAGCCGAAUCGACCAAUAUCUCUUCCUAGUUAACGAGAUGUCCUAAGAAUUGGACCUCCUGCAACCAGAAAUCACACUUGGAGAAUUUGGCAUAAAGCUUCUCCGAUCUCAGAACUCCGAGAACCUCUCUCAAAUGCUCCUCAUGCUGCUCUCUAGAUCUCGAAUAUACCAGAAUGUCGUCGAUAAACACAAUUACUGACCGAUCCAGCAUCGGCCUACACACUCGGUUCAUGAGAUCCAUGAACACUGUCGGGGCAUUGGUGAGCGCAAAAGGCAUCACCACAAACUCAUAAUGCCAUAAUGCGUCCUGAACACUGUCUUAUGGACGUCCUCAUCCCGCACCCUCAGCUGAUGGUAUCCAGACCUCAAAUCGAUCUUGGAGAACCAAGAUGCUCCCUACAACUGAUCGAAUAAAUCGUCGAUCCUCGGCAACGGGUAACGGUUCUUGACCGUUAGCUUGUUCAACUCCCGAUAAUCAAUGCACAUCCGGUGUGAACCAUCCUUUUUCUUGACGAACAGGAUAGGCGCUCCCCACGGCGAGCUGCUCGGCCGAAUAAACCCCUUCCCCAGCAGCUCCUGAAGCUGUAAGGAUAACUCUUGCAUCUCUGGAGGUGCAAGACAAUAAGGCACCUUGGUGAUAGGCGCGGCCCCCGGAACCAAAUCGAUACUGAACUUCACUUGCCUCACAAGAGGCACACCCAGCAACUCCUCGGGAAACACAUCCGGGAACUCAUGCACCACCAGAACUUCCUCAACUGAACUCGGCCUCUCGGAAUCCACCCGCGUAUCCAUCACAUACGCCACAAAACCCUUACAGCCCUGCUGUAGACACUGCCUCGCACUAGCGGCCGAACAAAACGUUGAUCCUGAACGCGUACCCUCGCCAUACACCGAAAGAACUCCCCCACUAGGGUCUUGUAUGGUCACCAGCUGACGCUCGCAGUCGAUAACCGCACCGAAUCUGCUCAACCAGUCCAUGCCCACAAUGACACAGACAUCUCCCAUCGCAAUAGGGACCAAAUCAAUCGGGAACUCAACAUCGAAAAUCUCGACUAUGCAACCUCGGAGAACCUCCAUGGCAUAUAUCACUCUCUCAUCAGCUAUGGAAACUCUCAGAGGCCGACUCAACGCCUCACGACUAACACCGAUAUGCUGGUUAAAAGCCAAAUAUACAAAAGACCGACUCGCACCCGAGUCAAAUAACACCAAGGCAGGUACAAAAUUCACAAGAAAAGUACCUACGCAUAACAUAACAUAAGCAUAAUAUCUCAACAUCAAAAUAAAUACAUGAAAGAAUACAUACCAACCACGACAUCGGGCAUUGCGCGGACCUCCUCCGCGGUCAGCUGAAAGGCUCUCCCUCGUGCCCUCGGCGCCUCGGCCUUCACUGGCCGACUCUCGGUAGCUCUGAUGGCGGCAGGGGCAGAUCCCUGAGGUCCUCCCUGAGCUGAUCCCCGCAACUGCGGACACUCCGCCUUUCAGUGUCCGGUCUGGUUGCAGUGAAAACACACCACAAACCCCUUGCGGCAAUCCUUUGCCAUAUGCCCCUCCUUGCCACACUUGUAGCAAGAUCCCGCUCUGCAGACUCCGUCAUGACCCUUGCCACACUUCCCACAAGUGCGGCCUUUCUGGUUCCCAGGUUUGGGAUCAGCGGGCUUGGCCCGCUUGGCUGCCGGCUGAGACUGUGCCGGUCGCCGAUCCCUCCCCUGAGACUCCGCCUCCUCCCUGGCCUGAGUCUCUAGCUCAAUCUCCCUCUUCCGGGCAUUUGCCUGAAGCUCAGCAAAUGUCCGGUACGAGGAGUUCGCCGCGAACUCCCGAAUAUCUCGCCUCAAAAUGCUCAAAUAUCGGCUCAUACGUGCCUGCUCAGUGGACACGUGCUCAGGGCAGAACAUCGCCCUCUCAUGGAACAUCCUGGUAAUCGCUGUAACUGACUCAGUACCCUGCUUGAGGGUCAGAAACUCCUGGGCCAAACGCUCCCUCUCCACCUGGGGAACGUACUCAUCUCGGAACAUGGCAGUGAACCUCUCCCAGGUCACUGCCGCAAGCUCAGCAGGCGUAAAAUGCGCCGUCACAAACUUCCACCAGUCCUUCGCUCCCAAGCGAAGCUGGUUCAGCGCGAACCGAACCUUCAAAUGCUCAGGAGAUGAGCAAGUGAAGAAACACCCCUCUAUGUCAGAAAUCCACCUCAUAGCUGCCACCGGGUCCUGGGUCCCAUCAAACUCUGGCGGUUUUGUGUUGCUGAACUCUCGGAACAGCAACGCAUCACCACCCUGCGGCCUCGCGGCAGCAAUAGCUGCGGUGGCCGCUGCAACAGCAGCCUCAGAAAGAGCGGCAUAACGCUCGUCAAAGGUCUUAAUCUGCGUGGUCUUAAUAGACCCGAACAUCUCUGGUAUCUCUGCCCAGAUGGCCGCAGCCACCUCCUCGUGGAUGAUCCGGCGGAUCUCCUCAUCACUGGUAUCACUGCUCUCAGGCAUCAAACGUGUCCUCACCAUGAUCUACCUCUGAAAUACAACAUACGAUAAAUUAGAAUCCAUUCGAGCAUACUCACACUCGACAACUCAUUCCUCCUUGAUCCUUGGCAUUCCAAAGAUUCUUACUUGGGCUGUACACCACCCCGGUGCUUUCAGUAGUACGGGCCCAAUACUACUGUCCGCACCGUAUCAGAAUACACCCCAAGUCCUCCUCUUCGGAUCCCAAAUUCCAAGUACUCUAUCAUGCAUAGACCACUCUCUAAUAGAUCUCUCAUAAGCCCCUCGCUGCUACCUACUCACUCUCAAGCAUCUCAUAGCAGCUCACCUCUUCCUAGGCUAAGGCAUCACAAAUCAGGCCACUCUAGUCCUAAUAGGAAUACCUAGCCUACUCUAGCAUGCGAAUACAUCAUAUCAAUAUCAAUAUCACAUAACAUGAGGGUAUUUUGGGAAAUCACCGUUCGGGCGCGGACUGAUCGUACACACAACUCUGCUCUGCGUUUUUCCAAAAAUCUUUUACUCUUUUUGAAAAUACUUCUCAAAUCCUCAGUUUGAGUUCAAAUACGCCCGAAGGUGUACUCGAAUCCCUCAAACCAAGGCUCUGAUACCAACUUGUAACACCGUGAAUUUCAAAAUAAUUUUUCGCAUAAUAUAAAAACAUUUUCAUUUAAUUUUCAUAAAAACAUCAAUGUUUUAAGACUCCAAUCCAUAUCAUACAAAAAUCCCAAGAUCACAUAUCAUAAAAAUCCCAUGCGUGUGUACAGAUCAAGUCGGCGCCUUCCCACGGUCAUCACUAGUACCUGAAACAAACAACACUAACACUGUAAGCACAAAGCUUAGUGAGUUCCCCAAAAUACCACACAUAACACAUAUUAGCCACUCGAGGCUAUAACUCUGUGGGUCCGUAGACCCUACUCUGUGAACCCACUGGUUCUAACUCUGGGAACCUUCCGGUUCCAACUCUAUAAACAUGCACAACAUAAAUCACAUAGAAAUAAUGCAGUACAACACAUAACAUACAUAUAGCAUACAAAUACUCUGUCACAUAACUCUGAUUACCUACUCAAGGUAAAGUAUAGUGAGAAGACUCACCUCGCGUAU